CCACCGCUUGUCCUGCUCCU
rnacentral:siRNA from 1 species